GGUCCCAUCGUCUAGCGGUUAGGACAUCGCCCUUUCACGGCGGUAACCGGAGUUCGAUUCUCCGUGGGAUCACCA
rnacentral:tRNA from 1 species